GGAAGUAAAAGUCGUAAACAAGGUCUCCGUUGGUGAACCAGCGGAGGGAUCAUUACCGAGUUAUACAACUCCCAAACCCACUGUGAACCUUACCUCAGUUGCCUCGGCGGGAACGCCCCGGCCGCCUGCCCCCGCGCCGGCGCCGGACCCAGGCGCCCGCCGCAGGGACCCCAAACUCUCUUGCAUUACGCCCAGCGGGCGGAAUUUCUUCUCUGAGUUGCACAAGCAAAACAAAUGAAUCAAAACUUUCAACAACGGAUCUCUUGGUUCUGGCAUCGAUGAAGAACGCAGCGAAAUGCGAUAAGUAAUGUGAAUUGCAGAAUUCAGUGAAUCAUCGAAUCUUUGAACGAACAUUGCGCCCGCCAGCAUUCUGGCGGGCAUGCCUGUUCGAGCGUCAUUUCAACCCUCGAGCCCCCCCCGGGGGCCUCGGUGUUGGGGGACGGCACACCAGCCGCCCCCGAAAUGCAGUGGCGACCCCGCCGCAGCCUCCCCUGCGUAGUAGCACACACCUCGCACCGGAGCGCGGAGGCGGUCACGCCGUAAAACGCCCAACUUUCUUAGAGUUGACCUCGGAUCAGGUAGGAAUACCCGCUGAACUUAAGCAUAUCAAUAAGCGGAGGAAAAGAAACCAACAGGGAUUGCCUUAGUAACG
rnacentral:rRNA from 1 species